CACUGCCAGCCCGCCGCGCGCUGCCAGCCCCCUGCCCGCACAGCACUGCCAGCCCCACUGCCAACCCCGCUGCCAACCCUGCUGCCCGCACAGCACUGCCAGCCCCACUGCCAACCCCGCUGCCCGCACAGCGCUGCCAGCCCCGCUGCCAGCCCCACUGCCCGCACAGCGCUGCCAGCCCCACUGCCAACCCCGCUGCCCGCACAGCGCUGCCAGCCCCGCUGCCAGCCCCGCUGCAGCAGCACCACGGGCACGGCCCCGGGCCCAUCACCGAGCAGCACCGUGCCCGGGCCGGGCACACCGGGCCCCGAGCGCCGCACGGGCUCCUGUCCCCAGCAGAGACAGCAGCGGGGACAGCGGCGGGGACACCAGCACCUCCUCCUGCUCCUGCCCAGCCCGCACAGGUGCCUGCACCCGCAGCCCCUGAGCCCCGCGCUCAGGGCCCCUCCACGCUGCUGCUGGGAACCAAACCCUCCUCCAGCCUCAAGAAGCCGCAGUUUCCCAGGGCAGCCCUCGGGCCAGGCUCGGCUCGCUCGGGCUCAUUCCCCUCGCUGCCACCCUUGUCCCACUGGGGGCGACACAGGCAGUGUCCCCCGUGCCAGCGGCAGUGCCCAGCUCCCAGCCCACUCACCCACCUCCCCCUCGAUGUGCCUGAUCUCUGGGGUUGUGAAAUUUGGGGUUCUUCCUUCAUUUCUCCUCCCAGUCCAAGGUUUAGUGUUGGUGCAAGCUCUCCUCCCGUGUGUCCCAGCACAUCUGGGAAGACCCGGGCUCUGCCCUGGCACAUCCUGCAGACCCUGCCCUCCCUUGCCCUGGCUGCCCCCUCAGAGCCUCCACCAGCUCCUCACUCACCACCUGCUCACUCACAGUAGCCUUUUUUCAUGGCUUUCACUUCUUUGUGCUAUUUUACUUCUAUUUUCCUCUCUUGCUCCAUGAUUAGCUCCCCAAACACUCACUUCUUUCUCUCUGGGUCUCUGUGGCAGCAGCAUCUGCACACCAGGUUCUCCACUCCCAGCACAUUCCUAGCUGGAUUCAGAUUUUCCAGCCACCAGGCUAAGUGCUGUGUCUGUG
rnacentral:lncRNA from 14 species